UACGUAGGUGGCGAGCGUUUUCCGGAUUUACUGGGCGUAAAGGAUGCGUAGGCGGAUAUUUAAGUGAGAUGUGAAAUACCCGGGCUUAACUUGGGUGCUGCAUUUCAAACUGGAUAUCUAGAGUGCGGGAGAGGAGAAUGGAAUUCCUAGUGUAGCGGUGAAAUGCGUAGAGAUUAGGAAGAACACCAGUGGCGAAGGCGAUUCUCUGGACCGUAACUGACGCUGAGGCAUGAAAGCGUGGGUAGCAAACAGG
rnacentral:rRNA from 1 species